rnacentral:rRNA from 1 species
GAUGUCUGAUUAGCUAGUUGGUGAGGUAAAGGCUUACCAAGGCGACGAUCAGUAGCUGGUCUGAGAGGACGACCAGCCACACUGGGACUGAGACACGGCCCAGACUCCUACGGGAGGCAGCAGUGGGGAAUUUUGGACAAUGGGGGAAACCCUGAUCCAGCCAUGCCGCGUGAGUGAAGAAGGCCUUCGGGUUGUAAAGCUCUUUCAGCCGGAACGAAACGGUCACGGCUAAUACCUGUGACUACUGACGGUACCGGAAGAAGAAGCACCGGCUAACUACGUGCCAGCAGCCGCGGUAAUACGUAGGGUGCAAGCGUUAAUCGGAAUUACUGGGCGUAAAGCGUGCGCAGGCGGUUUUGUAAGUCAGAUGUGAAAUCCCCGGGCUUAACCUGGGAACU